UAAACACAAUAAACAUAAUACUGUUACUUAAAACAAAAUGAUAUUAAGCCAAUUUUUUUUUUUUUUUAAACAAUCAACUUUAUUAUGGUGACAGCAUACUGUAGUGGCCAGCUGUCUGAAGUAUGAAAGGAAAGAAGGCAAUUAAUCGGACUUACCAGGUAUAGCGUGGGAGUUACCAGGUAUAGCGUGGGAGUUACCAAGUAUAGCGUGGGAGUUACCAGGUAUAGCCUAGGACUUACCAGGUAUAGCCUAGGUGUUACCAGGUAUAGCCUAGGUGUUACCAGGUAUAGCCUAGGACUUACCAGGUAUAGCCUAGGUGUUACCAGGUAUACCCUGGGAGUCACCAGGUAUAGCCUAGGACUUACCAGGUAUAGCCUAGGUGUUACCAGGUAUAGCCUAGGUGUUACCAGGUAUAGCCUAGGAGUUACCAGGUAUAGCCUAGGUGUUACCAGGUAUAGCCUAGGAGUUACCAGGUAUAGCCUAGGACUUACCAGGUAUAGCCUGGGAGUUACCAGGUAUAGCCUAGGACUUACCAGGUAUAUAGGGGAUGCGCAGUCAAUGGGAUUCACUGGAAUUACGCCCACUGAAGUUCCAUUUAGGGUUCAUUCCACUCUACAGGGUCUCUAAGCAGUGCCCUGGAGUUCCCGACACACUAAUCAUGAGACAUGGUCAGAGGUGAUUGAAUCACUUCAUUUGGAAAGCCAUGCAACAUCAUCACAGAGGAGGCAUUACACGUGUUGUGCUUUUUCAUUUCCCUUGACAGCUUUGCGGUUGGACAGUUAUUUACUUGCUAAUGUGGCUAAAAUUAAUUGUAUCUAUGUAACAAUGACCCCAUAUUGUCCACCUAAAAUGAAUAUUUGCCUUAUGAUGGCUGAACAGCUUGAUAAAGCCAAGAUUUACCCUUAGAAUGAAUAACAUUAUCUAGCUAGGUAAAAGUUAACAAAUUCGUCUUCCAGCUAAUUUGGCAACUUUUCUGAACAGGUUUCAUCCACAUCACAAAUUGAUAGCAAAUUUAUAAAUAUGACACAAGUAAACUCUAACUUAUUGCUGUUUAGGUGCUGCUCUCUGACAGUCAGCCAUCCAGCAGUCUUAACUUGCCAAAAGGUCUUCAUAGAUACAUAUACACAUUCCCCAUUUGUCUGUAAUUUUGGAAGCAGACGUAUGCAUUACACUGAAAUUAGCAAGGAAAAUGGACCUGUAAAC